rnacentral:antisense_RNA from 1 species
AGGGAAUGCAUAAUGGCAGUAUUUUCUUUGGAACAAAUUAAGAAGAUAGUAACAAAUAACAGAAGAAAUACUUCUACACAUAUAUUUUCCAUGGGCAAUAAAUAGAUAGUAUAUAAUUAUGAAA